UUAAGUUCUGCUGCAAGCUAGCACCACGCUAACACCACGCUGAAGUCUCUCUCAUUUUCGUUUUGCUCACAUUGUGUAAAACUGUGUUAAUUAUUCACUCCACUGAAGCCAGUCGUUUCUACAGUUAUAUUCAGUUCUUGUCAUCGAGUAUUGUAUACUCAGUGGUCCCCUGGAUGGAAUAAAACCCGAAUAAUUUGUGGAAUUGGAAAAUUUGGAAGAACCACGCUUUUUCAUGGAAUGGUUUUUGUUUAGCCACUUGCAU